GAUGAACGCCGCCAGAAUGCUUAACACAUGCAAGUCAACUUGAAUUUGGGUUUUUAACUUAGGUUUGGGUGGCGGACGGGUGAGUAACGCGUAAAGAACUUGCCUCACAGCUAGGGACAACAUUUGGAAACGAAUGCUAAUACCUAAUAUUAUGAUAAUAGGGCAUCCUAUAAUUAUGAAAGCUAUAAGCGCUGUGAGAGAGCUUUGCGUCCCAUUAGCUAGUUGGAGAGGUAACGGCUCACCAAGGCGAUGAUGGGUAGCCGGUCUGAGAGGGUGAUCGGCCACAAGGGGACUGAGACACGGCCCUUACUCCUACGGGAGGCAGCAGUGGGGAAUAUGGGACAAUGGACCGAGAGUCUGAUCCAGCAAUUCUGUGUGCACGAUGAAGUUUUUCGGAAUGUAAAGUGCUUUCAGUUGGGAAGAAACAAAUGACGGUACCAACAGAAGAAGUGACGGCUAAAUACGUG
rnacentral:rRNA from 1 species